rnacentral:rRNA from 1 species
UACGUAGGGUCCGAGCGUUGUCCGGAAUUACUGGGCGUAAAGAGCUCGUAGGUGGUUUGUCGCGUUGUUCGUGAAAACUCACAGCUCAACUGUGGGCGUGCGGGCGAUACGGGCAGACUGGAGUACUGCAGGGGAGACUGGAAUUCCUGGUGUAGCGGUGGAAUGCGCAGAUAUCAGGAGGAACACCGAUGGCGAAGGCAGAUCUCUGGGCCGUUACUGACGCUGGAGGAGCGAAAGCAUGGGGAGCGAACAGG